UCUUACCGGGACCGACAGCAAUAUGAAGGCCAGGCUGAAGACUUUGCCGGAUUAGCUGAGAGGUGGUGCAUGGCCGUCGUCAGUUCGUACUGUGAAGCAUCCUGUUAAGUCAGGCAACGAGCGAGACCCACGCCCACAGUUGCCAGCGUACUCUCUGGAGUGAUGGGUACACUGUGGGACCGCCGCUGCUAAAGCGGAGGAAGGAAUGGGCAACGGUAGGUCAGUAUGCCCCGAAUAUCCCGGGCUACACGCGAGCUACAAUGGUUGGUACAAUGGGUAUCUACCCCGAAAGGGGACGGGAAUCUCCUAAAACCAAUCUUAGUUCGGAUUGAGGGCUGCAACUCGCCCUCAUGAAGCUGGAAUCCGUAGUAAUCGCGUUUCAACAGAACGCGGUGAAUACGUCCCUGCUCCUU
rnacentral:rRNA from 1 species